rnacentral:rRNA from 1 species
CGCGUAGGCGGUCUGCUAAGUCCGAUGUUAAAGACCGGGGCUCAACCCCGGCACGGCGUUGGAUACUGGCAGGCUGGACGGCUGGAGAGGCGAGUGGAGUUACCAGUGUAGCGGUGGAAUGCGUAGAUACUGGUAGGAACACCCAUGGCGAAGGCAGCUUGCUGGACAGCACGUGACGCUGAGGCGCGAAAGUGUGGGGAGCAAACC